UACAGAGGUCCCAAGCGUUGUUCGGAUUCACUGGGCGUAAAGGGUGCGUAGGCGGUCGGGUAAGUCUGAUGUGAAAUCUCACAGCUUAACUGUGAAACUGCAUUGGAUACUAUCCGGCUAGAGGAAUGGAGGGGAGACUGGAAUACUUGGUGUAGCAGUGAAAUGCGUAGAUAUCGAGAGGAACACCAGUGGCGAAGGCGAGUCCCUGGACAUCUCCUGACACUGAGGCACGAAAGCUAGGGGAGCAAACAGG
rnacentral:rRNA from 1 species